AUACCACCAAUUUUUACCAUGAACGCACUACGUUUUUUCCAACUUGAUCUCAUUAACGAAUGAGAAAUACAAAUGAGAAUAUUUUUCUUGAUGAUUCUUCACACAUCAUCGAUAUACCAAGUGGAAGAAGCCAUAAUAUGCACCAAUGCAGUCAAAGAUGUCAUCCUUUUUUUUUAACAUGAAACAUCCUCUUUUACAAUUUCAAGGUAAAACUUCAUUUUUAGAAGUAUUCCAUUUUUUUGUAUCAUUAAAUACUGUCUAAUCACCCGAUUUCAUCCUUAAGUUCCAUUUAAUGAUUUAGCCCUUGUGAAUUUGAUAUUCUCUAUCACAUUAAAUUUGUUUGAAACAUUUUGCUUUUCAGUUACGAGCAAGGUUUACCUGUUGGUGAGGAAGACAUUGAUCAUGUGGAGUCGUUAUUAUUGCUUACCUGUUGCGAUCCAACCAGUGAGAAGGGCCUAGUAUCAUGCUUGGAAAGUGUUGUCCUCCUUUGCCGCAAAGUUCCUCACACUAGAAUUAAGUUUGCUGAGUUAAUUUUAUCGCAAAUAGUUCAUGAAGAAGGUAACUUGAAUCCCCACCUAUGUAAGGCCCUUGUUUCCAUCGGUGGUCUUCAGUCUGGUAUUUUGUGCAACUUUUGACGGAUAUACUAAAUCUCCUUCGAAAGCCUAACUUGCAGCCACACAUCAAAACAAUGUUAUGCACCCUAAUAUUUCAAACCAAAGCAGGGCAGCCGAUUGAGGAGGGUAUCGAAUUCGAGACGGUUGCUUGGGAAGCCUAUAGAGUUGCUAGAUCCGCAGCAAAGAGUUAUCUGAAGUUCUGGAUCAUCUGUUGUAACUUUAUGGUCAGGAAGUUCAGAAGCUUUCGUCUGGGUUCUGGAAUGAUCGAAUACCAACAAAUUUCCCAACUCUUGCCUUAGACUAAGCAAAAAAAAAAAAAAUUUCAAAGAAAGAUCGGAAACUUUCUUUUCAUUUAUUCUUUGCGGGAAGUUUCACACGAGAGGAUGCAUGUACAAGGCAGAUUUCCCUUUAAGAAUACGAUAAAUCAAAAGAGAAUAAUAAUUCUGCUUUUCAAAUCGUACAUGUGUCUGAACUAAAUUUCUCAAAAAAUAUCUGAAAGCUCAUUUUACUAUUGAGCAUGAUAUUCUUUACUGGUUUUUGAGUUCACGUUGAAAGUUGUGUUUUUUCUAGGUAUGGUCAUUUGAUGUCAGUGCAAAAAUUUUCAAAGCACAACGAGACAUCAUUUCUUCAGAACACUUGCACUUUUGGCUAGCCAGCUUGGAACAAUUGAGCCUUGGGGAGGCUGUUCUGAAAGCAGAUUCUGAAAACAUUAAAACUCUUGACAGAUUUGGAGCUGCUGUCGCUCACUAUUGCAAAGCAAUGGCAGCGUUUAAGGUCAGUUUAAUUCUUUAGAAAUUAAAAACACCAAAGCUCCAGCUUUACUGGGUGCAAUGUAUAAGUGCGUCUAAAAUGAGGAUCUCCGGCAAAACAGGGCA
rnacentral:lncRNA from 1 species